rnacentral:rRNA from 1 species
AUGGCCAACAACCCCACCUCUGUAGUUAACCAUGUCCAUAGCCUACCCAAGACGUCGUCAAGAUGUAUCACAGAGAGCUUCACCGCGACGCACAAUUUCGAGGUAACCAAUUACCUUCAGCUGGACGGCAUGGGCGUCGGCAAGUUCGUUAGCUCAAGUACAUUCAGUGUUGCUGGCUACGAUUGGAGGAUCGACUUCUACCCGGACGGAUGCAAGGAGGAUUCUGCCGGCCAUGCGUCAGUCUUUCUGUAUUCUGUAAGCCGGGCAAAGGAUGUGAAAACCGAGUUUACCUUGAACAUACUGGGAAAAGAGGGCAAAGUACAGGCAAUCAAGUUCGGUUUGUGUAGGUUUGAGCAUGUCUUUUCGCCGCAAAGUGCCGAUUGGGGGUUGUCCAAAUUCGCUGAGAAAUCAAAGCUGAAAUCAUCGACCAACGCCAACGGUGGCUACCUGAUGAUACGAUGCGUUCUCACCGUUACAAAAGAGCCUCGAACCGUGGUUAACAGGAACCUUGUCGUGGUACCUCAGCCGAACCUGCAAGACCAUCUCAGGCACAUGUGGAAAGACGGACAAGAAGCAGACGUGACGUUCAGCGUGUGUGACCAACUGUUCCAUGCUCAUAGGUGUUUGCUGGCUGCAAGAUCUCCGGUUUUCAAGGCAGAACUGCUUGGUCCAAUGAUGGAGAAGUCAACACAGAGCAUCAAGGCUGUCGACAUCGAGCCCCCAAUCUUCGAGGCGCUUCUUCACUUUGUGUACACAGAUUCCAUACCUGAUGAUGAACUCUCUGUAGAUGGGAAAUCGGCAAGGCUUCAGCACUUGCUAGUCGCCGCAGAUCGAUACGGGCUAGAUAGGUUAAGGGUGCUUUGUGAAAGUAAGCUCUGUGAGAGCAUUGACGUGGAGACUGUCGCAACAACAUUGGUUUUAGCAGAGCAGCACCAUUGCAAGGAUCUCCAAGAAGCUUGUGUUGAGUUCAUUGCUCCACGGAAUGUGCUACCGGCUGUUAUGGCGACUGAUGGAUUCAAACAUCUGGUUGCAAGCUGUCCUCUGCUCAUGAAGGAAAUACUGGACAAAGUUUCCUGUAGCGAGUAG